ACAUGCCUACAACAUAGCGUUAAUUCAUUGGAUCCCAUUAGAGCUCCACAUUUAAGCACGCUCGGUCUAGAGUAGUACUGGGAUGGGUGAUCGCUCGGGAAGUACUAGUAUUUUACAUGCC
rnacentral:rRNA from 1 species